rnacentral:rRNA from 1 species
GACGAACGCUGGCGGCGUGCUUAACACAUGCAAGUCGAGCGGCGCGGCGAACGGGUGAGUAACGCGUGAGUAACUGCCCCCCUCUCUGGGAUAACAGUUGGAAACGGCUGCUAAUACCGGAUAAGGGGGGGGGGCUCGCGGCCUAUCAGCUUGUUGGAGGGGUGAUGGCCUACCAAGGCGGUGACGGGUAGCCGGCCUGAGAGGGUGACCGGCCACAUUGGGCUGAGAUACGGCCCAGACUCCUGCGGGAGGCAGCAGUGGGGGAUAUUGCACAAUGGGCGAAAGCCUGAUGCAGCGAGGCCGCGUGAACGAAGAAGGCUUUGGAGUCGUAAAGUUCUUUUAUAUGGGAAGCGGUACCAUAAGAAAAAGCCCCGGCUAACUACGUGCCAGCCGCCGCGGUAAUUC